AGUGAACGCUGGCGGUGUGCCUAAUACAUGCAAGUCGAACGGCAGCACAGUAAGAUCGUGCCCUUACGGGUGGCGAGUGACGGACGAGUGAGGAGUAGAUCGGAAUCUUAUAUUUCGGGGGUGAUAACGGAGGGAAACAUAUGCUAAUACCGCAUACGACCUACCGCUUAGAGCAGGGGAGCUUCGGGGCUUUGGCGACUGUAUUAGCCGGUGCCGGAUUAGCUUGUCUGCGGGGUAAAGGCACACCAAGGCAACGAUCCGUAGCUGAGCUGAGAGGAUGAUCAGCCACACUGGAACUGAGACACGGUCCAGACUCCUACGGGAGGCAGCAGUAGGGAAUCUUCCGCAAUGGGCGCAAGCCUGAUCCAGCCACACCGCGUGGGUGAUGAAGGCCUUCGGGUUGUAAAACCCUUUUGUUGGGAAAGAACAGCAGCAGAAUAAUCCCUCGCUGUUCUGACGGUACCCAAACAAUAAGCCCCGGCUAACUUCGUG
rnacentral:rRNA from 1 species